rnacentral:lncRNA from 1 species
CUGGCCUUAAACUCAUGGCAAUCCUCCUGCCACAGUCUCCCAAGUGCUGGGAUUAUACUAUGCCUGGGUCAAAUCACCUUGAUUUUUACAAGAUGUGCUGGUAUGUUCUUUUGUAAGACCGAGGGCCUUACCAAACGAGGGCCUUACCAAACACUCCCAAGGAGCUGACUGCAGCGAAGAACACCCGGGAAGGAACACACCGACAAGUUGGAAAGUAAAACAGACCUUAGUCUGGCCAGAUGGCACUCCCAAAGCAAAGUAGCUUAGAGAGGCGACUAGCCCAGAGUCCAAGGCUCUUUUAUAGGGGGUUGCAGGGGAAGUUAACAGGUGAAAUUUACAGAAGAGGAACAAAGGUUAGUGGUCAGCUGACAUGUACUGAUGGUCAGCAGAUGUUUGUAGAUUGUUCUAUAGAUAGCGGUGUCUGGAACAUCAGUUUUCCAACAAAGAGUUGAGUAAUUUACUUUGGGACCUUAUGGCUGAUACAGAUCUUAGCUAACAAGCAUCUUUAUCUAUUUACUCACAUUCAAUCACAGUUGAGGCUAGGGGAGUUUUACGAUUACAGAGUUAUGCAGUCCCACAUGCUGGGGAUUUAGCUCAGUGGUUCUGGCGCUGCCUCACAAGCGCAAGGUCCCAAGUUCAAUUCCCGGUACCAAAAAAAAACAACAAAAAACCCCACCACUAAAUACAAGCCAUAACAUUCCGCCCCUGGCUCCCAAAUGACUGAUGUGGAUCCAUUUAUGCAAAAUGCAUUUAGUCCAUCUCUAAGAGUUGUCAAAGUCCUAAUAUUAUAGACAACUAAGUUAGAAAUAUUAUAGGCAGUCAGACAGGGCUAGGCCCUCAAAGAACCCAAUGCAGAAAAGAACACAUGUAGUGGAUAGAGGUGCAUUCCUUAAAGGCCAGACCUCAAGACAAA